GUGCUCGCUUCGGCAGCACAUAUACUAAAAUUGGAAUGAUACAGAGAAGAUUAGCAUGGCCCCUGGGCACGGAUGACAUGCAAAAUUCAGGAGGUUCAGAGAAUGCCC